GGGCGUGGUGGCGGGCGCCUGUAGUCCCAGCUACUUCGGAGGCUGAGGCAGGAGAAUGGCGUGAACCCAGGAGGCGGAGCUUGCAGUGAGCCGAGAUCGCGCCACUGCACUCCAGCCUGGGCGACUGAGCGAGAGACUCCGUCUCAAAAAAAAAAAAAGAAAAAGAAAAAGAAAAAUGAGUAUUAAUCUGUGCAAACGCCUAACCCUCUGAACUUCACCUGUCAGACUUUGGAGUUUGUGACUUCUGAUGACACUACUACCUCUACAGCCCUCUCAAGUAGUGGCUAUUUUCUCUCCCACACUUAGUAUACCACUGUGCCUGGAGGCAGAGUAGAUUUCCUUGUCCUCAUUGCUGCUGCUCAUCCAUUCUCCUCUGCUUCUUCCAUUAAAAACAUGUCAUCAGUUACCUGGGUACUUGUUGCAGUCUUCUAGUAUAUAGUCCCCUCAAUUCCCCUUUGUUCCUUUCAGAUCUUAGUUCCCGUCUCACUCUCUACCACCACCACAGUCGUACUUCUUGGUGACAGAUACAAAGAUGAUCCUUCCAGCUUCAUGGCCUUGGAGUUCACUGGAUCUCUCCUUCAAUAAUUUUGUCUUCUGCUUUGCCUCACCUGCAAUUUUGGUGGUAACCUUGAACUUACUACCAAUAACUGAAAUAUUAUAUGAACUCAGACACCCUACUCUCCAAUCACUGACCCCUUUCCAGCUCAGUCUCUUUAGGACCCCAUCUCCAGUGAUCCUUUGACCCCCACAUGGAACUUCUGUCCAUUGAUAACACCACUUUUUCACAUCUCUCACCCCUCUCAAGUAGCCUCUUUUCCUUAAGCAGCUUGCUUGGCCAGUCAUCAUCACAUGCAUACACCCUUAACUCCCUUGCUCCUCUAUCUCAUACUCACAGAGCUUAGCCUCAACUUGAUUAAAUCCAACUGUUCGCUUAUUCCAUGCCUGCACAUGUGCAACAGAAGAGCAACUUUUUUUUUUUUUUUUUAAGAUUUGGGGUUGUAGUAGACAGCUGUACAUUUUUUUCAAUCCAGCAUCUAAGCAUCCUUCUUAUCUGGCGUAAUCCACUCCUGUGAGCAUCUGCACAGGAGCAGUGUCCUUCUAUUGUAGAAGCUGAAAGGCCCAGAUACUCCUUCUGCCCUUGGCAAUGAAGACACACAGUGCCAACCAGAAGUUUGUAUCUUAAGUGUGGUGACUCAUAGACACAGGGACAAUCAAGAAAUCAGUCUAACAGCAGCGGAGGAAUCAUAACAUCUAAUGUAGAUUUCAUCUUUUUAUAAGCCUGGUUUAUUUCAACUUUCCUGUCCAUUUAGUGAGCUACCAGAUAGCUUUCUAAUAAAAAAUUUCUGGCUUAGGCCGGGCACGGUGGCUCACGCCUGUAAUCCCAGCACUUUGGGAGGCCAAGGCAGGCGGAUCACUUGAGGUCGGGAGUUCGAGACCAGUCUGACCAACAUAGAGAAACCCUGUCUCUACUAAAAAUACAAAAUCAGCGGGGUGUGGUGGCACAUGCCUGUAAUCCCAGCUACUCAGGAAGCUGAUGCAGGAGAAUUGCUUGAACCCGGGAGGCUUAGGUUGCGGUGAGCCAAGAUCAUGCCACUGCACUCCAGCCUGGGCAACAAGAACGAAACUCCGUCUCAAAAAAAAAAAAAAAAAAAA
ensembl:lncRNA